rnacentral:lncRNA from 1 species
CGUGGUGGUCUCAGGUCUGAGGGAUACUUAUAUUCAUAUCCUUCACAAGCUACUCUUGGUAGUAGAGUGCUCGGCACAUGGUCAUGUUCAAUACGAAUGUACUCUUACAUUCCAUCUAUAUGCCAUAACAAUAUCUUCAUACUCUUUGAUUAAGAGGACAAUCAACUCAUAUGACACACAAUGAUCUAUACUCGAUAUUGCUAUCGUCC